GAGAGAGGAGGACCUGGCUGCUGGGGAAGCUGAGGAGGGUACCCAGAGCAGAGCUAGGGAAGCGCAGAGGGAGCUGAGGAGCUUCAGCCUAGCAAAGCCCCAGGAUGCAGGUCAAGGUAUCGGGUUUUAGACAUGCUAAUCAGUGGAGCCUGAUCCUGAAGGCAUGCUCUGAGGACAUCUACAUGAUCAAGCCCUGCUGGCAACCAAGAGAAUGGGAGUGGGGAACACCUAGUCUGAGACUCCCGCUUUGGAACAGCGAGGGCUUCAGUUUGUGCUAGAGCUCCAAGCAGCUGAUCAGCUGUGAGGUUUCUCAAUUUUCAUAUCCUAUUUGUUCAGCUUACAAGUAAAAAAUGUUCAAACUUUGAGCUCUGCAAACUUGAUCUGGGAGUCAAGAUGGGUUCUACAGGACUUCUGUAUCAUCAUCAACAAUAGAUUCCAGAUGCCAUAUUCUACCUUAGUUAUACCUGUGCAGGCCCACUGUUUUCUAAUUGUGUGCUCCGCUACAUCUGUGAAACCUUAUUGUUACAUCAGUGCAAUUCCAUUAGUGCAAAAUUUGAUCAGGUAACUGGAACUUAAUGAAAAAUGUGGUCUCUUAUUGUGCGAGCGAAAACAAAAUCCAGCUAUGAAGUGCUAACCGGAAUAAAAACCAGCUACAUCCAUGCCU